CCUACGGUGGCAGCAGUAGGGAAUUUUCGUCAAUGGGCGCAAGCCUGAACGAGCAAUGCCGCGUGAACGAGGAAGGUCUUCGGAUCGUAAAGUUCUGUUGAGGGGGAAGAAGAGCGGAGAGAGGAAAUGGUCUCCGAUUGAUAUUACCCUUCGAGGAAGUCACGGCUAACAACGUGCCAGCAGCCGCGGUAAUACGUAGGUGGCGAGGGUUAUCCGGAAUUUUUGGGGGUAAAGGGUGCGUCGGCGGCCUGCUAAGUCUGGAGUGAAAGGUACCGGCUCAACCGGUACAGGCUCUGGAAACUGGCGAGCUAGAGAGCAGGAGAGGGCGGUGGAACUCCAUGUGUAGCGGUAAAAUGCGUAGAUAUAUGGAAGAACACCAGUGGCGAAGGCGGCCGCCUGGCCUGUUACUGACGCUGAGGCACGAAAGCGUGGGGAGCAAAUAGGAUUAGAUACACCAGUAGUC
rnacentral:rRNA from 1 species